rnacentral:piRNA from 2 species
UACAAGGUGGCCGAGUAUGCCCUGUGCUUU